rnacentral:lncRNA from 1 species
AUGAACGUGGACGCAGCCUGGGGUGAAAAAUCCACCAGGGGUGGAAAAGCAGCUGCUGCUCAACCAGGAUCCCUGAGCUGGACCCUCGCGCUCCCUGUCGCCAGCCGGUCCCGAUGGGGGCCUCUCCCGAACUGGAGAGCCCAGAGGACAGGCCUGCGCCCAUCGAGGGAUUUGAAUGGGAUGAGGGCCCCAACGGGGAUGGACCGGCCGGCUAAGCUUGGAGCCCUGGGGAUCAACAUGCAGACAGCAUGGAAGAGGCGGCAGCAGCAGCAGGGUGUCGUCCCCUUCCUGGGCACCUUCCUCACCGAGCUCUUCAUGCUGGAUACUGCCAUGGAGGAGUACCUGGAGGUGCGUGGGCCCGGGGCUGGGACGGGGGGCCGGAGUCCUGAUGUGGGGGAGCACAGGGCCCCUGAGCCGAGCCCCGAGCUCUCCGUCCUUGGCAAGUCUCCCCUCCUGAAAGGCUCCCCGCUGCCCUGGGAGCGCGGGUCCAGGGCCCAGGGCUGGGAGGAGUGA